rnacentral:rRNA from 1 species
AAGCCUGAUGCAGCGACGCCGCGUGAGGGAUGACGGCCUUCGGGUUGUAAACCUCUUUCAGUAGGGAAGAAGCGAAAGUGACGGUACCUGCAGAAGAAGCGCCGGCUAACUACGUGCCAGCAGCCGCGGUAAUACGUAGGGCGCAAGCGUUAUCCGGAAUUAUUGGGCGUAAAGAGCUCGUAGGCGGUUUGUCGCGUCUGCCGUGAAAGUCCGGGGCUCAACUCCGGAUCUGCGGUGGGUACGGGCAGACUAGAGUGAUGUAGGGGAGACUGGAAUUCCUGGUGUAGCGGUGAAAUGCGCAGAUAUCAGGAGGAACACCGAUGGCGAAGGCAGGUCUCUGGGCAUUAACUGACGCUGAGGAGCGAAAGCAUGGGGAGCGAACAGGAUUAGAUACCCUGGUAGUCCAUGCCGUAAACGUUGGGCACUAGGUGUGGGGGACAUUCCACGUUUUCCGCGCCGUAGCUAACGCAUUAAGUGCCCCGCCUGGGGAGUACGGCCGCAAGGCUAAAACUCAAAGGAAUUGACGGGGGCCCGCACAAGCGGCGGAGCAUGCGGAUUAAUUCGAUGCAACGCGAAGAACCUUACCAAGGCUUGACAUGAACCGGACCGCCGCAGAAAUGUGGUUUCCCCUUUGGGGUUGGUUUACAGGUGGUGCAUGGUUGUCGUCAGCUCGUGUCGUGAGAUGUUGGGUUAAGUCCCGCAACGAGCGCAACCCUCGUUCUAUGUUGCCAGCACGUGAUGGUGGGGACUCAUAGGAGACUGCCGGGGUCAACUCGGAGGAAGGUGGGGACGACGUCAAAUCAUCAUGCCCCUUAUGUCUUGGGCUUCACGCAUGCUACAAUGGCCGGUACAAAGGGUUGCGAUACUGUGAGGUGGAGCUAAUCCCAAAAAGCCGGUCUCAGUUCGGAUUGGGGUCUGCAACUCGACCCCAUGAAGUCGGAGUCGCUAGUAAUCGCAGAUCAGCAACGCUGCGGUGAAUACGUUCCCGGGCCUUGUACACACCGCCCGUCAAGUCACGAAAGUUGGUAACACCCGAAGC